rnacentral:rRNA from 1 species
UACGUAGGGGGCGAGCGUUGUCCGGAGUUACUGGGCGUAAAGGGCAUGCAGGCGGUCGGACGCGUUUCGGGGGACAGCGGGUGGCUUAACUACCCGAGUGGUCGAAAGACGGUUUGACUUGAGGACGCGAGAGGGACACGGAAUUCCGGGUGGAGUGGUGAAAUGCGUAGAGAUCCGGAGGAACACCGAAGGCGAAGGCAGUGUCCUGGCGCGUAACUGACGCUGAGGUGCGAAAGCCAGGGGAGCGAACGGG